GCUUGUCUCAAAGAUUAAGCCAUGCAUGUCUAAGUAUAAACUGCUUAUACUGUGAAACUGCGAAUGGCUCAUUAAAUCAGUUAUAGUUUAUUUGAUGGUACCUCUACUCGGAUAACCGUAGUAAUUCUAGAGCUAAUACGUGCGCAAAUCCCGACUUCUGGAAGGGACGUAUUUAUUAGAUAAAAAACCAAUCCGGCAACGGUGCUUGGUGAUUCAUAAUAACUGUUCGAAGCGCACGGCCUCGCGCCGGCGCUAGUUCAUUCAAAUUUCUGCCCUAUCAGCUUUCGACGGUAGUGUAGUGGACUACCGUGGCGCUAACGGGUGACGGAGAAUUAGGGUUCGGUUCCGGAGAGGGAGCCUGAGAAACGGCUACCACAUCCAAGGAAGGCAGCAGG
rnacentral:rRNA from 1 species